UGGGAAGGACUAGUGCCUGACCAUUGGUGGGUGGAGGUGGGUGUUGUCCCUCUGGUGGGCAGGGCCAUGUCAAGUGGUGUAUUUAGAGGUGAAGUGGCUAUGGGCUCAGGGUGAUUUUAGGGAACCUGUCUGCUCAUACAUAAGGCUGUGUUUCCACCCUGUUGGUUGUUUCACUGAUGUGUCCCGGCACUGGAGCCUGCAGGCUUUUGGGUGGGGGCAGAUCAUAGUGCCAAAAGGGUGACCUCUGAGAGAGCUCACACUGAAGAAUAUUCCCAAGGGCCUCUCUGUGACUAUUUUUCUUACCCCAGAGUGAGCCAUAGCUCACCCUUGCCUCCCCAAGAGACCCUCCAAGACCUGAAGGUAGGUCCAGCUCAGGGUCCUGUGGAGUCACUGCUUUGCCUUUGGUCCUAGUGUGUAUGUGCCAUCCAAGAGUGGAGUCUCUUUCCCCCAGUUCUGUGGAGCUCCUUCAGUCAAGCCCCACGGGCCUUCAAAGCCAAAUACUCUGGGGACUCCUCCUCCGAAUGCCAGACCUCCAGGCUGGGAAGUCUGACAUGAGGCUCAGGACUCUCACUCCAGUGGAAGAACCUAUAUGAUGUAAUUAUUUUUUAGUUUGUGAGUCACCCACCUAGGGGUAUUGGAUUUGAUUAUAUCAUGAAAGCACUCCGUUACCAUCUCAAUGGGUUCUUCUUUGUCAAAAAGAUGUAUAAUAUCUUUUUUGGUAGGUUCCACUUUUUUUUCUUGAUAGUUGUUCAGCAUUUAGUUUGAUUUUGGUGUUUUCAUGAGAGGAAGUGAGCUCAAGUUCUCUGCUAUCCACUAUUAACUUUCAAAUUUGUCUCCUUAUUUAAGGUUGACUGAUUAGUAAACCUAAUUCCAUCUGAAAUCUUAAUCCUCCCUUGUCACAUAACCUAAAAUGGUCACAGAUCCUUGGAGUUAGAGCAUAGACACUUUUGGAGAAAAUUAUUUUUCCAUCUCCAUACUCUAACUUAUUUGACCCCGUGUGUGAAAGUUUGAAAUUUGUUCUCAAUGCCUAGUGGAUUGAGUCUAAUUUUCCUAUAGAAUUAACUCAUUUAUUUAUAUGGCUUUCUUACCUUUUCUUGCUCCUUUUCUUAAUCUACCCACUUCACAGGCUGCGGGGAGCCGAAAAGAUACAAGGAGCUGAGGAAGGGAGCUUGUCUGAAUGGUGCAAUUCCGAGGGCAGGCUCCUAAUCAGAAAAAGGGGCCUGUCUGAACAGUACAAUUCCGAGAGCAGGUUCCUAAACAAGGGGAUGCCUGCCUGCACGGCACAGUUCCGAAGACAGGCCCCAGAAGACAAUAAGGCUCGCCUGCUAACAUUGGUGGGGAACUGAAUUUUCCAGAAAACAAUUUCCAUUUUGUGCUGCUGAGUGGGGAUUGUCCCAUGGAUGACUUAGUCUUUUCUGUUAUUCUCUUGCUAUUCAAUUUUCCUCAGUCUUUCCUGAUUAUUUGCUUAUUAUUCUUAUUUCCCAUUCUUAUUUUCCUUGGUGAUUUGUGAUUUAACAAAAUUACAACAAUAGUAAGAAUUUCAUCCUGAAAGACUUUCCCCUAUUCAAAUCCAACUUAAUUGAAACAUAGUGUUUAUCUACUAACUAGUUAUACAGUAAACUUUAGAGUUAGGAUUUUAAUGAGGUUCAUAAAAGUUAGACAUAUAUUAUUCUUGAUCAAAAGAAACCCAGCUGUGAGUUUUGUCCUAGAUUUUAGAAGCUUCUAAGCAGUAGCUAAUUAAGUUGAUUUAUAUUUUCUUAUACUGUCUUCCUGCCAUAAUGCUUAAAGAUAUACAUUAGUCUAAAAACAAGAUUUGUAAAUGCCAGAUUUUUGUGUCUGUAACCUCUUCAGCUUGUGGAAAUUGGCUGGCCAUGAGAUGGUUUGUGCUGAGUCUCCUCUUUCCCACAUGAUAUGCUACACCUGUUUGUCCUUGAAUUGUACUCAUUAGAUUUAGUUAAACUAAAGAUCUUAAAACAUGAUGUAUAGCUGCUAUACCAUGUAAUAGUUAACCAAUGUACUUUUAACACUGUGAUGUAAUCUGUAGUAAAAAACUUUCUAUAUAAUCAACCACUUAUGCCAAUAAAAUUUGAGCAGUCCAGCACCCUGAAAGAAGGGACAAAGAGGCUGUCUCCGUAUGUACAGUCACUGACGCUGUGUCCCUCUCCUAUCAGGAAAAAGUGUACACUCCCUGGCCACGGGAGCUGGCCUCUGGCAACAGGCCUUCCUUGGAUCACUUUCCAGAUAAACUGCAUAAAAGGAAAUCUUUAUCUCACAUUCUGCUUUUGUUGGAAAUCAAAAUUUAAUAAAGUAUGUCAUAAAAUGGAAUACUAUAAUAUUUAAUUUAUUAAAAUGCACUUACCAUUAUUUGUCAAAGUUAUAUAAAUUAAAACCACAACAUGUCACAGUAUACUGAUAAGAAUGGAUUGCAAUAUGCAUAAACAGACUUUCAAACUACAUACCAUAAGUAUAUAAAGAAAUAGGAGUUCUCACAGUUGGAAUUAUAUACAAUAUUCAUUUGGAAAAUUUCUGGGUAGUAUCUUCUCAGUAUCUCAGAUUGCAUUGUUCUAAUGAAAUAAAUACUAACGUACUAAGGAGUAAGGGGUAUCAUGUAAUCAAUCUAUUCUCAAAUUGCUCAUAAAACCAUAUAUGUUAAAAAUAUACACAAGACUUUACCAAUCGUACAACAGUUUCUGUUGUUAACCCACUCAUACCCUCUGCCUUACUCUGGAGGUCAUUUACAUGCAUAGGUGUAGUAAAAAUAUACAUUAAAGCAAAUUUGUUCAUAAUAUGCCUAACUGGAAGCAACUGAAAUAUUGUUCAAUAACUAGGUGCAAAUUAUUGUCUACUUAUAAAUUAAAAUAUUGUAUAAUAGUGAGAGUAUACAAAUUAAAGUUAACAUUCCAAGUAAUAUUUCUAUUGCAUCAUGUUUUUCAUAUUGCAAAUCAUAAUUAGACAUACUCAGACUCUAUAUUUGUUCAUGUGUCAAGUUUUUUGCAUGGCAUCAUGACCACUUGAGCUUUGAAUUAACUUUAGCAUUCUCCCUAGUUCCCAAUUAAUACCUGCUGUAAAGCUUAACUGAAAUAUCUUGCUUCUCCCAAAUCUCUUCUCAUGGAAGAAGACAUCGUACCUUUACUUAUUCUUCCUUUAAAACUGGCCAGCCAGCCCCAUGAAGUCUUCUCUGAUCCCUGAAUCCUCAUUAAUGUCCCUAUCCUCAAAAUUCAUCAAGUAUUAAUAAUCUGAAGAAUGUAAUCUUGAGACAAUUUUCUCUGAUGAUUAUUGGUCUUAUGAAACUUUAAAUUCAUCUUUGCAUUUCCCAGAGUGCCAAAAUUAAAAUACUUAAACACAACUCUGCUUUAUCAAAGGGAAAUAUAAAAAAGUAUAUUUUACAUUUUUCUAUUCAACAGUUUGUUUAUCUGGACACAUUGAUGAAUGAAUGAAGUUAUUUAUAUUGAUGUUGCUGGGUUUUAAGAAAUAAAUUCUGCCUUGCAUGGUACCUUAUGCAGACAUUUCCUAAAACAUUAUAUUCUGGUUUUGAAUAAAUAGGUGCAUAGUAUUUUAACUUUAGCCUCUAAAAUCUUUCUCAAGUUUUUACUUAUGAAACAUAAAUUACUGCAUUUAUAUACAAAGGAUCUGACGUACUGAAACUUUCCACUGAAUGAAUUACACAUGCAUAGGAGGUAUAAUCAUAAUUUCCAAUACCUCUAUUAGUUGUUUACUCAAACCAGGUUUAUUUUAGUAUGCCUGGCUUUUUUUAUUUCUUUUUAAUUAGUUUAAAAGUCAUGAUUAGUCCUGCUUCUCCAGUCAAUGCUUUUGUCACAUAAUGAUCAAGUUGUUAUAUAUUAUGUGUAUAUAUAAGUGAUAGAGCAGGUUUGUUUUGUUUUGUUUUGUUUUGUUUUUUCUGAACUUGGCAGAAAGCUUUAGCAACCCAUCUUACAAAUAUCUGUAAGUUCUUUUUGAAAGUCAUCUAAUGAGUAUCACUGAGAAUUGCUGCAGUGUAGGCUGUACCUUAAACAUUGCUAAAGAAAGGUGUAACAUUUAAAAGCUAUAUAUUUAAUAGGACCUGUGGCAGAGUGAUGUUAUUUGACAAGAAAACAAAUGCUACUAUAAAAUAUAUAAAAUAAAAAAUAGACGUUACGUUAAAAUAUUUAUUAGAGGAGUAAGUAGGUAGGUUAUUAUUGGUCUAUAAUACUCUCUAAAAUGUAGAUACGAUGCUUUCAGAAUGAAAAUUAGUGAAAAACAGUACAGUGAGACAAAAAUGGCAAGCUCUAGGUCUUUUGAUUAUUGUUUUAACUACAUGAGAAUAACGUAUUUGAUGUAUAUCAAGAGUAUCUGAUAUAAUCUGUUUAUACUUUAUUUUUCAUUAAGAAAGUAUACAGGAGUCAGAUUUUCAGAAGAAAUGUAAUGAAAGUGAAUAGAAUAAAAUAUAUACAACCCAUCAUUACUAUUGUUAAUGCUUUGUAUAUUUGUUCCAGGCACUUUUUUCCUAUGCAUUAUACCAUAGAUACAGAUUUGCAAUAUUUUAUCUCACUACAUAUUUAUCAUUAUCUUAGGUCAGUAAUUUUUUAUCUAUACUUUUUCUUUAAAUAAUGAUACUACUCAGCAAUUCACUCAACAUGCCCCCAUAGGAUCUAUAUGAAUCACUUCUGUUUGGGAAAAAUUGGUAUCAGUUGCUUGUGAAAAUUCAUCUUCCUUUUAUAGUCCACUGUUCAUUGUGGGAUCCUUAUCUUAUCGAUGCCUGCUACCAUAAACCCAGUAGCAGUUCAUCUGAAACCUGGAAGGUGAACUUGAUCUUUUCCCCUCCUUUAAUGAGCAGAGGACAUGAAUUUAAUUACCUUUCUUGACCCCCAGUGGCAUUAUAGUUUUCAAAAACAACUUCUUGGAGUUCCCGUCGUGGCGCAGUGGUUAACGAAUCCGACUAGGAACCAUGAGGUUGUGGGUUCGGUCCCUGCCCUUGCUCAGUGGGUUAACGAUCCGGCGUUGCCGUGAGCUGUGGUGUAGGUCGCAGACACGGCUCGGAUCCUGCAUUGCUGUGGCUCUGGCGUAGGCCGGUGGCUGCAGCUCCGAUUGGACCCCUAGCCUGGGAACCUCCAUAUGCCGUGGGACUGGCCCAAAGAAAU
rnacentral:lncRNA from 1 species